CCUAUUCAUAGAAGUAAUCAGGAAGUAUGAACUGCUGCUUGCAAAGAUCGAUACAAGAUGGGAUCUGUCUUACCUUCUAAGAGCAGACUUCAGAUCAGGUUCUUCUUUGUAGUUAAACGCGUCAUCAAAUCCAAGCUUCUCUUUUAGAAGAUCCACCUUCGUCUUGCUUCCGGCGCAUCCCACGACGUAGCAGCCAGAGAGCUUGGCGUAUUGGCCGACCAAACUCCCCACCGAACCGGAUGCUGCGGAGACGAAGACCGUCUCCCCCUUCUUCGGCUUGCAGAUGUCGUAGAAGCCAGCGUAAGCUGUCAAUCCACUCGUCCCUGCGGCAAACAGCAGUGCGUUAUGAUCAGAGUGUCUCGUGGCCUUCUCCGUCUGUCAAUCUUGUGGAUCCAUUUCCUGCGUCUCUCUGAUAAUUACCUAAGAUGCUCGCAUGGUAUGACAGCGGGAACUCAUGCGGGUCAACCUUGGUCAACGUGGUUCCCGGCCGGACGACCGUGUAUUCCUCCCAGGCCAGAAGUCCGACCACCACAUCGUCUCUUUCGAACUCCUGGUUCCCUGAGACCACCACCUUCCCCACUCCGAAGGCAUCGAUUCUCUGUAGCAAAGGUCGCCAGAUGCACGCCGAGCUCGUGAAGAAACAAGCUAGCAAACCCAACGAACGACGAUAAUUAACAGGAAGCUCGCCUGCCCGGGCUGGAUGCGUGUUGCAGCAGCAGAGGUCUUCUGUGUGGAACUGUACGUCUUCAUGCGGUUGAGCUGGUAGGGAUCGAUCGACAGGAACAAGUUCUUGACGACUACUUCCUUGGACCCCUGCGCGGCGGAGAGGACAAGCGGUGCGCUCCGGAGCUCGAAGUCGGACUCGUUGGGGAGGCCAUCGAUGGCGUGCUUGAUGAUGAUGUGCUUGUUCUCCACCUCCAUCCUCGCUGCGCUCUCUGUUCUUGCCAAUGGCGGCUAGUUAACGAUCCCUUGCUGCGUAACGAUAAACACGCCAAUCUGGCAGAUAGAAGAAAGAGUGUCCUCGUCCUUUUAUUAUUUUAAUAUUUUUGAUAUUAUAUCAUUAUAAUUUUAAAUUAUAAAAAUUAUGAUAACAUGAAGAUUCUAUCAAUAAUAAAAAUCAUAAUAUCAAUAUGAUUUUCUAAAUUAUAAAAUAAUUUAAUAAAUAUUUUAUAUUGAUUAUUAAUUAAAAAUAUAUAUAAUUAUCAUAUUUUGUAAUCUCUCUUUGUGUAUAUAAAUUCAUAGUCACUCUCAAUUAAAAAAUUAAUUAAUUAUUUUUUCUCAUGAUAUCAUAACCAUAAUUGCUCAAAAGAUUUUUUUAAUUUUAUUUUUACUAUUAUUUCUUUAUACCUUUUCCUUUAUCAUAGUUAAAGGUAAUGCUUUGCUGUACCUAUUCUUUCAACUGGUUGAAUAUAGCAUUACAAUUUCUAUUUAGUUUUAUACUUUAAUAAACUUUUCUUUUUUAUAAGUGCCUUUGCAUUUUUUUUUUCUUGACUUUUUGGCAUGAUCGGUAAUAACUCUUCGUAUCACCCCCAAUUAUUUUACUAUUGAAAAUACUAUUGACUCCAUUAACAUUGCAAUCCAAGCUCCUCUCAAACUCAUAUUCACAAACUAUAUCUCUUAUUAUACUUGAUUAUUUAAUCGAUUAUGAUAUUAUGGGUUAAGUAAAUAAUAUCAUCACUUUUCCUCUACAAAUGAUUAGAGAGAAUAAUCUUAAGAUUAUUAAUCCUAAAUAUAUUUUUUUAAUAGGUCAAUAUCAUUUUUUUAGAAGUGUUAUCAUUACCUUUCUCUCUCAUCAAAUUAUUCCUUAGUCUCUACAAAUUUUUUCUUACGAAGUAUAGUCCAAAUUUACAAUAAUAUACAUCAACCAAUCUCGUAGUCACCUAAUGCAACUUCUAGAAAUUCUUUAAAACUCUAAUGAUAAAGAGAUCAUUUUUUUCAUGUAUUAAAUAUUCUUGGUCCAAAUUAUAAGGAGAUCUCGUGAUAAACUUAUAAGUUUUGAAGAAUUAUGAGACAAGUCAAUCGAUCAUCUCGGGAUAACACAGUGAAACUCACUCUCUCUAAUACCCCUUUCAUCGUCGUCCGAUAAUGCAGGUACCAUGGGACCCACCAUUGUCUCCUAUCACAAUGUAAACAAUUCAUUCUCCUACUGUACAUUAUUGACGAUAAAAAGAUUCGAGUGAAUUUUUAGAAAAAAUAUUUAUUUUUUUGAAAUUCUUCACAUAACAUUCAUAUUUUAAAAUAAUUAAAUAUUUUUUAAUAAUCAUUUUAUCCUUACUUUAGUUAAACCCUUUACCCAGCCCAGCCCAUUAGCCAUCGCCUGCAUUGUCACCUUCGUCGGAACUCAAUAAUCAAUGAUGAUGGCGCUCGUUCGAUGCCAGUGGAGUGUGAACUUAUGCGUGAUGAAAGGAGACGAUCAACUCUAGCACAAGAGCUAUAGUGGAGGGAGCGAUCCGCAUGAAGAAAGGGACUUGCAAGCUUCGACGAGGAUUACGAGCAAUGAUUGGGAUGACAGAGGUAAUGAUGGGUCCCGUAGAAAAACAAAAGGUAAAAUAAAAUUUUCAUAAAAUUAGUAAGAACAUGUAAAUUUUUGAAAAAUAAACGUUUUUUCGAAAAUUCGCCAAAAGCUUUCCGCUCUUAUUCAUCACAAGCAAUUCAGUCUAUCACAAACUUGUCAAAUGCACGAGCUUUUUGCCGACAUUAUCACCUCGAAACAGCCCAGCAAAAGCAGAUGGCACGCUUUCGAGGCCAGUGGAUAUGUCUUCGACUGCUCGCAUUCUGCCAUGGCGAAGAUGGUCGGAUGUGGACGAUAUGAAUCCAGCGUACACGUGAAGGUGAUCGAAGGCGAGGAACCCGCGGAGUGUGAUCCGUUUAUAGAUCACAUCGACCGUAUCAAGCGCCAGUCGCUUGCCAGCGUCCGCGUAUUCGGAGAUUGCUCCGCAUACUGCAACUCUACCAAAAAGGUUCAUGUUGGCGACUGCAGCCUCUAACAUCGCAGAACCAACGUUGUCGAAGUAUAUGUCGAUUCCUUCCGGGAAGUACCUAUUCAUAAAAGUAAUCAGGAAGUAUGAACUGCUGCUUGCAAAGAUCGAUACAAGAUGGGAUCUGUCUUACCUUCUAAGAGCAGACUUUAGAUCAGGUUCUUCUUUGUAGUUAAACGCGUCAUCAAAUCCAAGCUUCUCUUUUAGAAGAUCCACCUUCGUCUUGCUUCCGGCGCAUCCCACGACGUAGCAGCCAGAGAGCUUGGCGUAUUGGCCGACCAAACUCCCCACCGAACCGGAUGCUG
rnacentral:lncRNA from 1 species